rnacentral:tRNA from 1 species
GGUCUCGUAGCUCAACUGAAUAGAGCAUCUGACUACGGAUCAGAAGGUUGCAGGUUUGAACCCUGCCGAGAUCA